UACGUAGGUGGCAAGCGUUGUCCGGAUUUACUGGGCGUAAAGAGCGCGCAGGCGGUCGUUCAAGUCGAGUGUGAAAGCCCCCGGCUCAACUGGGGAGGGUCACUCGAUACUGAUCGACUCGAAGGCAGAAGAGGGAAGCGGAAUUCCCGGUGUAGUGGUGAAAUGCGUAGAGAUCGGGAGGAACACCUGUGGCGAAGGCGGCCGACUGGGCCGACCCUGACGCUGAGGCGCGAAGGCGUGGGGAGCGAACGGG
rnacentral:rRNA from 1 species